UCCACUUAUUGGAACGCAAUUUGGUUAGUGUUCCACUCAUUGAAUUCCUGUCGAUUGAAUUUGAUUAUCUGAAAAUGAACUGUACUAUAUGAAAGGAAAAUCAUAGUAGAGAGAAUUUCUGCAGCUUUGCAGGAAAACGGGUCAACCAGAAAGUAGCCCACCCUAGAAGCAGAAAGGAGACUACCCAGUGUACAAACACAUCUAGGUGUGCGUACGAGAAUCGCGGGCCAUUCGAGCAAAAUAAUGGCGCUAGUGGAAGUGCAUCGGCUAAUUUACGAGUCGACAUGGAUGAAAACACGAGCUCCCCAUUCUACGUAUAUAAGUACACUAUUCAUCGUGGAGAAAUGGCGUCAGCGGAAUACCUCUACGAGGUAGUUCUUUGAAUUCUGAAUCGAAUUCAUUCGUCACACGAGUAUACCUAGACUCUGGACAAGAGGAAUGUGUUCAAAUCUCAUCAUUUUUGUAACAUACGCUACCGUCUCGGAUAUCUCGGAUAUUUCAUACCGAUGAUAUAUCAUAAGAAGACCGAAGUAUUUGUUAUAUUUUCAAAGUUAUAAUUUACGAACGUUCCUUUACUGUUGACUUUGUACCUUUGGCAUAACUAGAAUCCAAUAUCCUGCUCUAUCUAAAUUAAAACAAGAAAUAUAUUACUCCUUUUAUAUCACUCACAAA